UGACCACUCAAGCCUAGCUUGGUAUUGGGGUUCGCGGUCUCGCGGCCCCUAAAGUCAGUGGCGGUGCCGUCUGGCUCUAAGCGUAGUAAUUCUCUCGCUAUAGUCCGGUUGGUUGCUUGCCAAAACCCCCAACUUCUCAC
rnacentral:misc_RNA from 1 species